rnacentral:rRNA from 1 species
AGAGUUUGAUCAUGGCUCAGGAUGAACGCUGGCGGCGUGCCUAAUACAUGCAAGUCGAGCGAACUGAUUAGAAGCUUGCUUCUAUGACGUUAGCGGCGGACGGGUGAGUAACACGUGGGCAACCUGCCUGUAAGACUGGGAUAACUUCGGGAAACCGAAGCUAAUACCGGAUAGGAUCUUCUCCUUCAUGGGAGAUGAUUGAAAGAUGGUUUCGGCUAUUACUUACAGAUGGGCCCGCGGUGCAUUAGCUAGGUGGUGAGGUAACGGCUCACCAAGGCAACGAUGCAUAGCCGACCUGAGAGGGUGAUCGGCCACACUGGGACUGAGACACGGCCCAGACUCCUACGGGAGGCAGCAGUAGGGAAUCUUCCGCAAUGGACGAAAGUCUGACGGAGCAACGCCGCGUGAGUGAUGAAGGCUUUCGGGUCGUAAAACUCUGUUGUUAGGGAAGAACAAGUACAAGAGUAACUGCUUGUACCUUGACGGUACCUAACCAGAAAGCCACAGCUAACUACGUGCCAGCAGCCGCGGUAAUACGUAGGUGGCAAGCGUUAUCCGGAAUUAUUGGGCGUAAAGCGCGCGCAGGCGGUUUCUUAAGUCUGAUGUGAAAGCCCACGGCUC